CUCUAUCCCCAGCAGAGGCAGCGGAGGAGACAGGGCCGGGAGGCAGCGGGCAAGGCUACGCAGCAGGCCCGAGCCUGCCCCUCAGGCCGCCGAAUCUGCUCCCCAGUCCGGCCGGGUCAAGUCAGCGCGGCGGCCACCCUCACCUGGAUGACCUCGUUGACCUCCCGGAUACAUUCCACCAUGUGUUGCAGAAUCUGCUCGGCCGUGAGCACCUCGUAGCGGUAAUCCUCCUCCUGCUCGUGCCCUGGCCCGCCGCCGCCGCCACCGCCGCCACCGCCGCCGCCGGGCCCCAGAGCGCUGCCGCCGCCGCCGCCCGUCUCCCCGCACAGCAGUCCGUCCCGCUCCCCGCCGACGCCCAGCCCGGGCUCCACCAGCUCCACCUCGCCCAGAUCCAGGUUAUCAUCGUCCGGCUCAUCCUCGUCCUCGUCUUCCUCCUCCUCGGCGCCGCUGUCCUCCUCGCUGCACUCUUCGUCCUCGUCGAACUCGUAGUUGUAGCCCUCGUCCGAGUCCAUGGCGCGACACGCGAGGGCCCGGCGGACGCUGGCCCUGAGGCGGGGAGAGGGCGGGGACGCCGAGGCCCCGGCUCUCGCUCCGGCUCCGGCUGAUGUCCGGACGCAGGCCUGGCUCCGGCCCCGCGGGCCGCGGCUCCUCCCCGGGCGCGGCGGUUGGCGGUUGGCGGCUGGCGGCGGCGGGGAGGGCGCGGAGGAGGGAGGGAGGGAGCGAGGGGGCCGNUUGCCGCCCGCCUCAGUCAGACGCGGCUCCGCUCCGGCCUCCGAGAGAAAACAGUCCCCAGCGCCACCUCCACGGCCGCUGCUACCGCUACUGAGCCAACAAAGGGGCGUGCGUCACCGCGUCGCGCUGCGUCGUCGCGUCACUCCUCUUGGCGUCACCGCGCCCCGCCCCGCCGCCCCUGCGUGGAGUGUGGGGAGACCCCACGGCCCGGCCUGGCUAUGGGAGCGCGGCGCCGCGGGAAUCGCCUUCUCGGUUCCGGCUGCGGUCCCUCUGUGGAUCGACACUGGUGGACCCUGUUCCGGAGGAGGCCGUGGCCUCGUCGUCACCGAGAGAAGGGCCCCUGGACACGAUGGUGGUUGUCGCCGCAGGCCAUAGGGAUCCAGCCCCUUCACUGAAUCCAGCGAAGGCGGCCUUCCCACCCGGCGGUAGAGACACUUCCCGCUCGCCCUGGAGUAAUAUUCUGGGAAGACCUCGGUUGUUGGGCUAAAAUUCCUGUUGCCCGGGCUACUAAAUGGAAAUCUGUUUCAUGCGGAACCUCUAAACCAUGUGACAGGUGAACCUCGUUUUAAGUGCUUGUGCUGCUGCUGUACGCUGGUACAGACGUGCAGUGGUUUUUAAGUCGCCGAUAGUGACGUCAUUUUAGAGGAGCGUUUCCUGAACUCAGCUCAGCAAGCAGCUACCAAUUGAGGGCCCUAAGCAAUGUAAACAGUCAUGGCUUUCCUUGAUUGAGCACUAUGUAAGGGCUUUACAUACAUUCUCUCUCAUCUUCACGGAGCCACAGUACCCAUUUUGUAUCUGAGGCUCAAAGGGAAAGGAACUUGACCAAAACCACAGAAAACGCCCUGUUCCAGUGGCCGGGUGCCCUAAAACAUCAAUCAUAAAAAUGCUUUACGAUGCAUAAUAUGGGUUAUGUACGACAAAAUAUAUAACAUGCAUUGUAAUAUAACACAAUACAAGCUGUAAAAGAAAUACCUACAAGGACCAAAUAUAGCAGAGAGACACUUGUCUCUUAUCUAGAAAUGUGCUGUGUGAGCUGCGUGGUGAUUGGUGGCUAGGAGUUUAACAGAGAAGGUAGGUCUAGCCUGAGACCAACAGAAGAUGAUUUAGCCUGAGAGAGUAAUAGAAGCAAAAGCACGGAGGUGUAAACUAGUUUCGUUUCAGCAGCUUCCAGUGAAAGAAGGGUAAAUGGGAAAUUAUUAGGCAAGUUAGGGGCCAGGACAGUAAGAGCAUUUUAUACCAUUAUAAGAGUGGGUUUAAAUUUUUGUAAGUAGGACAGGAGAACCAGAGAAGUGUCCUGAAGGUGGAAGAGGCCUGAGAAAGCACCCUCUGGGGGUACCCUGAAGGAUUGGCCAGUUAUUUUUAAAAAUCUGAAUUCCUAUCUUACUGAUAAAUCUUACUGUUCAAACUACAGGUUCCCUUUGGAAAUUUAUUGUUUUUAAGUGAAAAAUCCUGUGGGGCGCCUGGGUGGUUCAGUCAGUUGAGCAUCCGACUCGUGAUUUCAGCUCAGGUCAUGAUCCCAGGGUCAUGGGAACCCAAGUGCAGCUCCAGAGGAGCUUGCUUAAGAUUCUCUUUCUCUCCCUCUGCCCCUCUCCCCUGCUUGCUCUCUCUCUCUAUAUUUUUAAAAUGAAAAGUUCCUUUAUGAUGUGAAUAAGCUACUAGUUUGUCCAUUUUAUAUAUGUUUAAAUAAUCAGAUUUCCUGAAAUAAUCAGGAUUUGUAAAUUAAAGUGUUUAACAUCA
rnacentral:lncRNA from 1 species